CUCUUCCUAAAUCCCGAGCGAAAGCCCAAGCUGAACAUGAACUCUGCCCGGAGGCGACGGGCUGCGGCGGAGGGGGAGAGAGAGGAGGACAGGCUGCGACCCCGGGCUGGGGACGCCAGGGCAGGGACAGCGAGCAUCAGGAAGGAGAGCGUCCGGGGAACUCGAGUGGCCGCGCCCUGGGUCCUGCACCGUGAGGCUGGGGGGACCAGGACCGGCGGGCGCCCACCUUGGUCCUGAGCCCAGCUGCCGACGCUGGGCCAGCACCCUCUCCACCGCCGCCCUCCAGUGAGCAGAGCUGGGCUCAGGCAGCAGCCCCUGGGCGCGGGAAGGUAGCGGGAGCUGCAUUUAGGGGAGGGGGGAGGUAGCAGGAGCUCCGCCAGUGGGAACCUUGGAGUGAAUUCGUCGGCGGGUGCCAAGUCGAAGCGCCGACCUCCUGUCUCUGGACUGGGGCCCGGACCCCUGCGUCCCCAAACUGCGUCCCCGCCUUGCUCGUCGCCCGGUGCCUUCCUUAGGCGCAGCAGACCCUCGGUAAACAGCGGUUAAUUCGAUGGAAUCGGAUCACAGGGCCCUCGGUGAAGCAGAAAGGCGGAGGAAAUCCAGGAGGCAGAAGUGAGGACCCUGGCGCCUGGCGCCGCUGCGUUGUUCGUAUAAGAAGAGGCAUCCCGGAAGGGGCUUCAAACCACUUAGGACCGACUGCUGAAACGAAUCCAAGCUUGUGGUGUCUGCAGAAUUUAACUGUCCGCCUCAACCCCAGUUUUUGUUUCUAAGAUUAUCGAAAACUGUGCGGUUUGAGUGAUGUGCUACAAAGUGUUUAAAACAGAUUGUUUCCCAAAUUAGGGGUUUCCACACAAGAAAUCGCUGCUGUC
rnacentral:lncRNA from 1 species